rnacentral:rRNA from 1 species
GCGUGCUUAACACAUGCAAGUCGAACGAUGACGGUGGUGCUUGCACCGCCUGAUUAGUGGCGAACGGGUGAGUAACACGUGAGUAACCUGCCCCCCACUUCGGGAUAACCUCGGGAAAUCGUGGCUAAUACCGGAUACGAGCACUCAUCGCAUGGUGGGUGUUGGAAAGAUUUAUCGGUGGGGGAUGGACUCGCGGCCUAUCAGUUUGUUGGUGAGGUGAUGGCUCACCAAGACGAUGACGGGUAGCCGGCCUGAGAGGGCGACCGGCCACACUGGGACUGAGACACGGCCCAGACUCUACGGGAGGCAGCAGUGGGGAAUAUUGCACAAUGGGCGAAAGCCUGAUGCAGCGACGCCGCGUGGGGGAUGACGGCUUCGGGUUGUAAACCCCUUUCAGUAGGGAAGAAGCGARAGUGACGGUACCUGCAGAAGAAGCGCCGGCUAACUACGUGCCAGCAGCCGCGGUAAUACGUAGGGCGCAAGCGUUGUCCGGAAUUAUUGGGCGUAAAGAGCUUGUAGGUGGCUUGUCGCGUCUGCCGUGAAAACCCGAGGCUCAACCUCGGGCGUGCGGUGGGUACGGGCAGGCUAGAGUGUGGUAGGGGAGACUGGMACUCCUGGUGUAGCGGUGAAAUGCGCAGAUAUCAGGAAGAACACCGAUGGCGAAGGCAGGUCUCUGGGCCAUUACUGACACUGAGAAGCGAAAGCAUGGGUMGCGAACAGGAUUAGAUACCCUGGUAGUCCAUGCCGUAAACGUUGGGCACUAGGUGUGGGGGACAUCCACGUUUUCCGCGCCGUCUGACGCAUUAAGUG